rnacentral:tRNA from 1 species
GGGGCAGUUGGUAGCUCAGUGGUAGAGUACAUGCUUUGUGUGUACAAAGUCCUGGGUUCAUAUCCCAGUUGCUCCC